GAUGAAGAACGCAGCGAAAUGCGAUACGUAAUGUGAAUUGCAGAAUUCAGUGAAUCAUCGAAUCUUUGAACGCAUAUUGCGCUCUCUGGUAUUCCGGAGAGCAUGCUUGUUUGAGUAUCAGUAAACACCUCAACUUCCAUAUCUUUUUUGAAAUGGGAGUUGGACUUGAGUGAUCCCAACGCUUUUCCUCACCGAAAAGUGGCGGGUUACUUGAAAUGCAGGUGCAGCUGGACUUUUCUCCGAGCUAUAAGCAUAUCUAUUUAGUCUGCCUAAAAAACAGAUUAUUACCUUUGCUGCAGCUAACAUAAAGGAGAUUAGUUCUUGUGCUGACUGAUGCAGGAUUCACAAAGACGGCUUCGGCCGACUUUGUAAACUCGAUCUCAAAUCAAGUAAGACUACCCGCUGAACUUAAGCAUAUCAAUAAGCGGAGGA
rnacentral:misc_RNA from 1 species